CAGCAGCCGCGGGAAUACGUAGGUGGCAAGCGUUGUCCGGAAUUAUUGGGCGUAAAGGGCUCGCAGGCGGUUUCUUAAGUCUGAUGUGAAAGCCCCCGGCUCAACCGGGGAGGGUCAUUGGAAACUGGGAAACUUGAGUGCAGAAGAGGAGAGUGGAAUUCCACGUGUAGCGGUGAAAUGCGUAGAGAUGUGGAGGAACACCAGUGGCGAAGGCGACUCUCUGGUCUGUAACUGACGCUGAGGAGCGAAAGCGUGGGGAGCGAGCAGGAUUAGAUACCCCAGUAGUCCCUGUCUCUUAUAC
rnacentral:rRNA from 1 species